ensembl:snoRNA SNORA66 Small nucleolar RNA SNORA66
GUGCAAACCUGAUCACUAACUCCUCAUGAUGUUGCCGAAGAGGAGAAUCAAAUUUACAAGAGUAACUGCAGUGAUGCUCAUGGAUUAGAUUCAGACCUUACAGAGGUCGCCUAUUCUAACCCGAUACAGGG